rnacentral:rRNA from 1 species
UAGGGAAUCUUCGGCAAUGGACGAAAGUCUGACCGAGCAACGCCGCGUGAGUGAAGAAGGUUUUCGGAUCGUAAAACUCUGUUGUUAGAGAAGAACAAGGACGUUAGUAACUGAACGUCCCCUGACGGUAUCUAACCAGAAAGCCACGGCUAACUACGUGCCAGCAGCCGCGGUAAUACGUAGGUGGCAAGCGUUGUCCGGAUUUAUUGGGCGUAAAGCGAGCGCAGGCGGUUUCUUAAGUCUGAUGUGAAAGCCCCCGGCUCAACCGGGGAGGGUCAUUGGAAACUGGGAGACUUGAGUGCAGAAGAGGAGAGUGGAAUUCCAUGUGUAGCGGUGAAAAGCGUAGAUAUAUGGAGGAACACCAGUGGCGAAGGCGGCUCUCUGGUCUGUAACUGACGCUGAGGCUCGAAAGCGUAGGGAGCAAACAGG